GUCUCAAUGACCCAGUUGGUUAAGGCGUCUGCUUCGAGUGCAGAAGGUCGAAGGUUCGAAUCCCGGUUGAGACA